UCCCGGUUGGCCCGGGCAGUCUCGUCUGAAAAAUACAACAGACGACAAGGGUUGCGCUCGUUGCGGGACUUAACCCAACAUCUCACGACACGAGCUGACGACGGCCAUGCAACACCUGUCAUCCCGUUCCCUUACGGGCACAGCCCGAUUUCUCGGGCCUUCGGGAGAUGUCAAGCCUCGGUAAGGUUCUACGCGUAGCUUCGUAUUAAACCACAUGCUCCACUGCUUGUGCGGCCCCCCGCCAAUUCCUUUGAGUUUUAAACUUGCGUUCGUACUCCCCAGGCGGGAUGCUUAACGCGUUAGCUUCUCAACGCAGAGGGUCGAUACUCUACAUUAAUAGCAUCCAUCGUUUACGGCGUGGACUAC
rnacentral:misc_RNA from 1 species